GGCACCGCGUUGCUGUGGGAAUUAAUCAAGCUGCAGAGUGGUGGGGGCUGAGUGAGGGAGGUCACGGUGUAUUUCAUAUCCUCUCGUCUACAAAUAUGUGAGCAAUCUGACCAACCAGACUCCUCUCUCCUGGGUGGCAGCAAAUGCCACCUGAGUUUGGAAAGCUGUCAGAGGUCAUGGGUACGGAAACCCUGUUUUUGGCCAGAAUGAUUCACGAAUUCUGAAAGCCAGGCCCCUGAAGGGUUUUGUUUUGUUUGGUGUCUUGCCUCUUAUUAUCAACUUUGGUUCCACUUGCUUUUUAUUUUCUGUUUCCACAGCAUUAAACUCUCAUGACUCCUGCUGAUAACACCCUCUCCUUCCUCCAAGGCUUUACCAAAGCAGAACGUCAAGUGCCAGUGGCUCGUUUUUCUCGGUGAUAGCACUUGGCAGUCUCCGGAGCCUGCCAGCUCCGCAACUGGGGCCAAGAUGACAGAGUCAUGCUGAAUACUGCAGCGCCUUCAGCUGUAAUAGCAGGCUGGGAUUUGGAACUCGGUGGGAAUUCUUCUUGGGGCAGCUCACAGUGUGUCAGCCCUGACUUGUGCGCUCGAUGAGACGGGAAGGUCCGGAGAGCUAAGUUACAAGACCCUCCCCACUUCCUCCUUCCCUCACUCGCGCUGUUUAUGGCUAAUUGUACGUUUCUUUGGACUGGGCACUCUGCUGGGCACAGGGAUUAGGACCCGAACUAGGGAGAUACAGACACGAAAAUGGGUCUGCAGGCUGGACAUCCAAGACCAAGGUGCCUGCUGGCACAGUUGCUGUCUCGUGGAACCUUCUCUCCUUGGCUACAGCCAGCCUCCUCCUCCAGGUGUCUCACCCAGCCUUUCCUCUGUGAGGGUGCGCUUCUGCUGUCUCCUGGUCUUUCUGUAAGGACAUCAGUCCUAUCAGCUCAGGGCCCCACUCUGAAGGACCUCAUUUAACCUUAACUACAUUCUUAAAGGCCCUAUAUCUCUGCAUACAGUCACAUGGGGGGUUAGGGAGCAGCCUGGGUUUUGUGGGGACAGAAGUUGGUCCAUAAUGCUUCUCAACUGCCUGGGGGGCAGGCUGGAUCCCUUAGAUUCCACCCACUUCUCUUCUUAGUCUUUUGUCACAUCUAUGAGGACCCUGUGCACCCUGACCUGCACGUCCUAGCUCUGUCCUCCUGUCCCCUGUAUACAGCCACCACUGGCCUCUCCAUCGUAUACAGGAGUCAGGGCAGUGUCCCUAGGAAAAAUGGAUCUUAGAGAGAGGCCCGUGUAGGUCAUGGAAGGGAGUUCCCAGGUCCCCAGGGGCAUGUCCCCCAAGCCCUACAGCACCUCUAACCCUAUGCGGAGCGCUAAGGCUGGAGGAGGGCCAGGGGAGAACCCUCUAAAGGCGGAGGUGGCAACCUCCAGCCUGCGGGCCAACUCCGGCCUACUCCCGUUUUUGUGUACGACCUGCCUGUGAACAAAGGCAAAAUGAAAAAAAAUGUAAAAAAAAAAAAAAAAAAAAAGACUACCAGCCUUUUGGCAAGAACAGCUCAAUUUUGCCUCUUGGAAAGCUCAAAGCCUGAAACAUUUAUCCUCUAGCCCUUAGCAGAAGAAGUCUGCUGAUCUCAGCUCUAAAACACAGGGCAGGGACCCCUGGGUCCCUCAGCACCUUUGAGAGAUACUCUUUCCAAGUGCUGUAUUGAGGAGCUUCCACUGGGCAACACAGAGCUCAAAACCAGCUGCCUCCAAAAGCCACAGUGACCCCUCCCAUCCCCCCUCAGGGUGACCAUGCCACCCCUCCCACCAACAGAUAGAAUUUAUAGCACCUCCCUUAGAAUCUGGGCAUGCUCUGGGCCUUGCUUUGACUUACAGGAUGUGGUUGAAGGGACACAGUUAAGCUCCAGGUGCUGCUUAAGGGAACUUAUGGCUUCUGUUUUUGCCCUCUUGGGAACCAGCCACCGUGCUGAGAAGCUCUGGAUAAACUACUCAAUAGUGACAGAUCUCAUGGAAAGACAGACGACACAGAGGAGAACCCAUGGGGCCGUGGCCAACGGCCAACAGCCCAAGGACAACUUGGAUUCUCCAGGGCCACAGAGCUGUGGUAGCCAAUGCCCCCAGAAGCAGUGAGGAGUCAGGCCUGCCGAGUCCUGCCUGAGGUUCUGACCCACAGAGUCACAGCAUUCACAUGGUUGUUGUUCUAAGCCAUGAAGUUUGGGGGCAGUCAACAGCAACGGAUAAUUGAAACAACUGUCAAAUAACAGACCAAAAAAAAAAUGUAUGGAGGGCUUCCACUGAGGCAGCCAGGGCAAAACUCACGUAAUCUUCGAAGUCAUACUCUGAGGGUGAUACUGUGAUGAUCCCCAUUUGACAGAUGUCACCCCAUGUUCUUAAAAGAGCAGAACUGCAGCGAGAGCUCACUAUACAAUGUUGCAGAAAAAGCCACCUGAAAUCAAAUAGGAAGCUUCCCCUCAGGGGUGGACGGUCUGCAUGGGGCCAAAACACAGUAAAAAGGAAUCAGUCCAGAAUCAAACGUAUUGUCACCUGCCUGCUAGUCCCCCUCUAAGUGCUUCUCAAACUCAGUCACGGCACCCGUCACCGGUCUCUCUCAGGGCGGUGGACGGGGGUGGCUGGUGCUGGGGAAUCAGACAAGAUCCAGAGCCUGGUGCCCACGCGGGACCCUCCCUACCUCAGGCCUUCUCUGCUGAACAGGGAGCUGUUCCAAAUGUUCACUGUGUAUCUGAACAAAAUAACUACUUGUGCAGUAAAGGAAUGACCUAGGAAUUAGGAAUCAAUCCUGUGCCCGUGGGAGCUUUAUUAGUUGGAAUAAAAGACUCCCGAGAAUGGGGAGGUCUCACAGUCUGGUGGUCUUUCUAGAGGCGUUUGGUAACAGGGCAGUAAGCGACAGACUGAGGGCGGAACCCGGCCACUGAUGGCAUUAGGGCAGCCGAUCCGCCCUUGAUGGCCCAGGGUCCCUGCCCUGCCACUUGCUAUCUAUGAGGCCUGGGCAGGUCACCUGUCCUCUCCGUGUCUCCUGUCCCUUGUCUGUAAAACUGGGGUAACACCACUUGCCUCAGAGGCCUAGUGUAAGGUUUCAGCAGGACAACAGACAUAAGCGCGUAGUACGUAGGAGAGAAUGAGUCGGUGUCAGUCAUCACUCUCAAGAUACGUCCCCCUCCAUUGCAAAGUAAGAGGUGAAAUAAGAUGUCAGAAAUCUCUGACCCAUUUUUACGGGACUUAUUUAUUUAUUGUUAUUAAAAAAAUUUUUUUAAUGUUUAUUUUUG